AUUGAAACUAUCUCCUUUUACGAUUGAUUUUUUUUACCACUGAAUCUCAGUGCAGUUUUGGUACAUGGGAAUCACACUCAAUUCUUUUUCUAUAUAAAAACACAAAUUUAUUAUUUACAAUUUCGAUCGUAAAAAUAGAUAGAUAUUGAAAUUAUUUCGAUAUAAUUGAAUAUAUAUACCACUUCUAAAGUUAAAAAAAAGGAAUAUUUGUUUGUUACUACAGGCUGAUAUUUUAUUUUUACUUUAGCGCCAAAGUUUUGAUUUCGAUAAAUAAGAUUGUUGGAUAAACAAAUUUAGCAGACUUAUAUCCACAAUUUUUUAACUUCUAUUUACACAUAAAAACACUUUUUUAUGUGGCCGCAUUAAAACAGUCUAGAGUCCGCGUGCGGCUAACGUGACCCUACUUAGAUCCACCCAACUAAAAUGUAAAAACUAGGUCACGUUACGCGACUUUGUCGCUUUUAGCUCAGCCAUCACUUAAAGCGGGAACAUUUCGGAUAUGGUGCGUUAAACUCGUCUGGAAAUUUCUGAAAUUCUCUGGUUGAACGGAUGCCGAGCUACACCCAUUUAUUUGGCCAAAAAAAUGAAAAAAAUUUCCAAUAUGGUGUGUUGGAACCGAACUUUAUUCAAUGAGUUGCGCUGAUGAAGCUGAAACUUUGUACGCUUCCAGAAUGGGAAUUUUUAUUUUUGUCAUAUCCGUUUUUAUUAAUAAAAUAUGGAAAUUUUUAUGACAACGAAAGAAAAUUUUUUCAAGAAUCAGAAAUUUCACUUAUAUCACGAGAUUCAGCAUCAAAAAACUCUUAGAAUAUGUUUAUGUCUUUGCUCGAAACUUUACUUAUGUGCAAAAAGCCGUCACGUGAUUUUUGCACAUAAGUAACCAAAUGUUAUUUCACCAAAAAGAGCAAAAAAGUUCACCUUUAACGGAAACUACAAUAACUCAUAAGUAUUUGCUAAAAAGUAUCCGCGGAGAGAUAAGGCAAAUAUUUUAUAAGACGAAGAAUGAAAAUAAUACAGUAAACAACAUUGCCUCUAUUGUAAGGAAAAAUAUGUGAUCGGCUAAUUUAUUUCAUCUUUUAAUAAACAAUCGAAAUUUUACUUUCUACGGAAAAAUAUGCGAAUGAAAAUCUAUGCUAGUUUGUAUAUAAUCAUUUCGAAUUAGAUAAUAUUAUAUACCACCCUUCGAGUCUUUGACAGAAUGAAUUAUCACCUUAUACUGUAUAGGUCUAUAUUUGUAAACGUCUGUUUGCGCUAUUAUCAUCCGCCUAUUAUCCAACCCAAGAUUUAAAACAGGAUAUUUUCAGCCAGCUUACACUUUGGCAUUGAGACCAAUAUGUUUUUUCAAAUUUGAUCCUUUCCCAAAGAAUAUUUUUAGUAUAUUUGAGACUACAUCUGCAGCAUUUACUUUUCUGUUAGUCAGCCAAUAGCUUCCUGAUUUAUUUACCUUAUGUAUAAUUUUAGUUAGCUAAUGAAUAGACUACCUUCAUUUUUAUCGUGUCAAUUAUUUUAAUUAAUGAAAUGGUUUACUUUAAAACACGCGAGAAAAUUUCGAAUUUUGUUUCCAGAUGACAACAAUAAGUGGAACAAGAAGCAAAGGUUGAGUAUGUGCCAAUUAUUGGGAUAUGAACGGCUAGUAUACUAACUUGUAAGUACAUACAUCCGAUCAACAUUAUGAACAUUAGUGAUAAAGUAUUAUUAAUGUUUAUAUUAUCGUUCUAAAUGGUGAUGAUGGUAUGACCUUUUCUCUCAAAUUAUUAACUGUUAAUUAGAAUUUCGUUAAUUUUCGGCUUAUAGUUAAUAAGAUAAAUAUUAGUAAAAAGCCUUUUUAAAGCAAACUCUGUAUUUUAAAUUAAUUUCUGCAACAAGCUCCCAAUACAUUACUACCCAUUUCUCGCAAUGAACGAUAAAUAUCUAUUUUAUAAAAAAAAAAUGAACGUACACUUUCCGGUAGAUUCCACCAGUUCCAUAAAUGACCAUGUCCAGAUUUAAUAUACUAUAUUUUAUAUAUCUCAUGUACCAUGGGGCGGCUUAUUUAAAACUGAUCUAACCUUUACAUUUUAAUGAAAAACUUAAUAGCGUCUAACUGAUAUACUCCAACUACCGCUUGUAAUUUAGAUUUUUCAUUAAUCUAUACAGUAUGUAUAAAAUGCAAUGUUUAUCUGCCGUCUAUUUUCUGUUCUGGAAAAGCUCCCUUACUGUUUGACCCCUCGGGACCAAACGUGGCCUGGAGACUUCGCCCCAGCCAGUAACAUAGGCUAUUCUGAAUCGAAACGUAGGGCAUUUUGGGGUGAAAAGAAAAUGUUUUCAAUUAAAUCCUUCAGAAUGAUGUUCGAAUUCGGGAUGAAGUCAUAGCCGUGGCGGAGUGAUGUCAUGAUAGAUUAACGGUGUAUGAUAACGUAAAAUAUUUCCGUUAUAUGACGUCAUUCUGACCCGACGUCGACGCUAUGAUCGGGUGAUGGCGACGUUAUAUGUCGGCCAAACCGAUAGUAAAAUCAAUGCCAAAAUUGGUUGCCAAAAGCCAAUGGAUUCCAAGGGAUAAAUCCAGGGGAUCCGUGUCCAGGCCAUCCAACAGCAUUUCUUCAACUUCCCGGUUGAGUCCACCACGGAUGUGGACCAGCCUGUCUUAUGGCCGUAUUCACUAUCUCGAGUUAUACGAAGAAUUGACCAAGCCGAAGUUAAAAUUAAUCC
rnacentral:lncRNA from 1 species